UCAUCAGGAAGGGUAAUCCUUACCUGUUCCUCUAUUCAGAGGCAGAUAGAAUGUGGUGAUUGAAGUUUGCAUAAUUCAUGAUUAAUCUCUCUACAUGAUAAGGGGCCACAACACUCUAAUUGCUCCUAUGAU